GUUAUACAAUAAAUAUAAAUUAAUAUAUUUGGUUAUUAAAGUUAAGUUUAUUUAUUUAGAAUUUAAUAUAUUUAUUUUUGGGUGAAAUUUGAAUUUUUAUUAAUUUUUUUUUGGAUCUUUGAAAUGUAUAAUAUAAACUAGGAUUAGAUACCCUAUUAUAAUACAUUUAAAUAUUUGGCCGGGGUAGUAUUAGUUAUGUUCUUUAAACCUAAAGAAUUUGGCGGUGUUUUAUUCUAUUUAGAGGAAUUUGCCCCGUAAUCGAUAAUCCUCGUUUUAUCUUACUUAUUUUUGUUUAUUCAGUAUGUAUACCGCCGUUAUAAGUUUAUUUUAUUAGAAUAAUAAUUUACUUAAUCCUUUUUUGUCGUAUUUC
rnacentral:rRNA from 1 species